rnacentral:lncRNA from 1 species
CUUCACAAAGUACAUACACAAUAGUGUGGCCUAAAUGUUUUGAGUUCCACAAGCCCAAAAUAUGGAUACAAAAUACCAAAAACUAACUGAUGCCGAAGUAUUAACCUAACCAACAUUUUACUUUCGACGUCCAGCCAUAUACAACUCGGCACAAAUAGACUUUCGGUACCGCCCCAUGUCAAGCCCAGCAAGCUCACUAAUAUCAGUGGAAGAUAUAAUGCACUGAACAAAUUUCAAUGCAAAUAUCCCACAAUCAUGAUUGUUUACCUGCUGUGGGCAAUUCGGCACAAGGUCCAGACUCCAUUUUGCCUUGUAUGGUGGUGGGAUAUUUUUGUGCUUGAAGACCUCACACAUGUCACAGACGAUUGGUAGGUUUUUGAGCACAUUUUCGAACUGCCGCUCCACUGGAUAUGCACCGCGCAUUGAAUCAAAUACACGAACCGUUUGGCCUUCGAAAUCUAGUUGAUACGCAACCCAAUGUUGGUUGUCGAUGUUCCCUACGCCGACAACAGCAGAUGCUUGCCACCAUGGCGUACCACUGAACCAAGGCCGAGAGCCUUCCACGUAGGGCCUCACCUUCUUAUCCAAGCAUUGACGAAUGUCGGCCUCGC